CAGUCGCCGCGGUAAUACAGAGGGUGCGAGCGUUAAUCGGAUUUACUGGGCGUAAAGCGUGCGUAGGCGGCUUCUUAAGUCGGAUGUGAAAUCCCUGAGCUUAACUUAGGAAUUGCAUUCGAUACUGGGAAGCUAGAGUAUGGGAGAGGAUGGUAGAAUUCCAGGUGUAGCGGUGAAAUGCGUAGAGAUCUGGAGGAAUACCGAUGGCGAAGGCAGCCAUCUGGCCUAAUACUGACGCUGAGGUACGAAAGCAUGGGGAGCAAACAGGAUUAGAUACACGCGUAGUCCCUGUCUCUUAUAC
rnacentral:rRNA from 1 species